rnacentral:misc_RNA from 1 species
GUAUUUUGAAUUGUUUUAUUCAUAAUAUUUUUCAGACAAAGAGUUGAGAUAAUAGUUGAUGUUUGGGGCUGAUCAAAAGAGACCAACCCUGACAUUGCACACAAGGUGGAUAUGGAUUUAAAAAAGUGCCAUAAAACACUUAUUAUGAAUGAUCCUUCCGCAGGUUCACCUACGGAAA